CCCGCCCCGUCCGCGCAGCUCGUCCGGCCCGCCCGCAGGCCAGCUUCUCUCGGGAGCCUCCACCCAGGCGCAUGGCUCCAUGAAGCAAGAGGAGGAGGCAGAGCGCGAGAGAUCCCGUCCGCCCCAGCCGCGUCUGGGCCAGGAGAAAAGCAAAACCAUAUUCCUGCUGCUGUCAGUUUUGAUGCACUGAGAAAACUUCAGAGACCUAAGCUUUUUCCAGAGAAGAGAAGCUUUACUGGUGUUCCAGCCCUAAGAAACUUAAAUCCUCAGUGUGACACAACUCAGUCCUUCUACUGCAGCAGCUCUUUUAUAAAAGCCUCCCAAAGCUCCAAGAAGGAACAAAGAAUGUGACCCAGUAAGCUCACACCAUAAGUCUAUAUUGCAGAAACCUUUGUUCAACAAAACUGCAGAUGCUCUGUUGAAUCCACUGGAGAUUGUCCUGAUACUAAGGACAAGUAUGCUCAUAUGACAUUAACAGACAAGACACUUUUCAGAAAGACAGGCAACGUGUUGGACCUUCCGGAGCUUCUCAGAAGACAGAGGGUUUUCUUUUGAGGUAAAUUUGAUAGUACAUUUUGAUAGUACAGGAGGCGAUACGGCAUGGUGACAGAAAAGCGCCGGCUUGGUUAGCGGGACCACCUGGCAGGGCUGCAGGCUGUGCCACUUACCAGGCAGGGGACCUUGGGCCAGCUGCUUGGCCUCACUCACCCUGUUUCCUCAGCUGCAAUUGGGAUGAACAGACUGCCUGCUUCGGGGUUGCCUAAAACUCACAUUGCUUAAUGAUGUGAAAUGCUUAGCGCAGUGCCUGGCAUAGAGAGAAUUCUCAUUAGAUGAUACCUCAGCUGGGCUUUAGGAGCUACAGAAGAAGCUGCAUCUCCAUGAGCUCAGCGUGUUUCUAGCUUUCCUUUUUGUUUUCUAUUCAACCUUUCACCCAACUCAGCUUCUCAAUCCCUAAAUGACAAAGGUUUGGGAAGGAAGACUUGGACCGAUGCUUGCAUUUGUUUCUGAGAAUUAAACGUUAUGUUUUCUUCAAUCCAAA
rnacentral:lncRNA from 10 species